AGUCCAUGGUGCAGACAUUUUCUCAAAAGUUCUUUAAAUCGUUCCCAUGUUUCGUAUAAAGAUUCCCCAUCUUCUUGAGGAAAAAAAUUAAUUUCAAUAAUUAAUUU
rfam:Helianthus annuus linkage group 3, whole genome shotgun sequence.